rnacentral:rRNA from 1 species
CUAACACAUGCAAGUCGCACGAGAAAGGGACUUCGGUCCUGAGUACAGUGGCGCACGGGUGAGUAACACGUGAAUCAUCUACCUUCGAGUGGGGAAUAACUGAGAGAAAUCUUAGCUAAUACCGCAUAAUACCUACGGGUCAAAGGAGCAAUUCGCUUCAGGAGGGGGCCGCGGCUGAUUAGCUAGUUGGCGGGGUAAUGGCCCACCAAGGCGAAGAUCGGUAGCCGGCCUGAGAGGGCGCACGGCCACACUGGAACUGAAACACGGUCCAGACUCCUACGGGAGGCAGCAGUGGGGAAUUUUGCGCAAUGGGGGAAACCCUGACGCAGCAACGCCACGUGGAGGAUGAAGCCCCUUGGGGCGUAAACUCCUUUCGACCAAGACGAUUAUGACGGUACUGGUGGAAGAAGCACCGGCUAACUCUGUGCCAGCAGCCGCGGUAAU